AUGGGAUUCGGAGGUAACUCCCAACCCAAUGUGAACCAUACCAAACUGUUGCCUCGGCGGGGUCACGCCCCGGGUGCGUCGCAGCCCCGGAACCAGGCGCCCGCCGGAGGGACCAACCAAACUCUUUCUGUAGUCCCCUCGCGGACGUUAUUUCUUACAGCUCUGAGCAAAAAUUCAAAAUGAAUCAAAACUUUCAACAACGGAUCUCUUGGUUCUGGCAUCGAUGAAGAACGCAGCGAAAUGCGAUAAGUAAUGUGAAUUGCAGAAUUCAGUGAAUCAUCGAAUCUUUGAACGCACAUUGCGCCCGCCAGUAUUCUGGCGGGCAUGCCUGUCCGAGCGUCAUUUCAACCCUCGAACCCCUCCGGGGGUCCGGCGUUGGGGAUCGGGAACCCCUAAGACGGGAUCCCGGCCCCGAAAUACAGUGGCGGUCUCGCCGCAGCCUCUCAUGCGCAGUAGUUUGCACAACUCGCACCGGGAGCGCGGCGCGUCCACGUCCGUAAAACACCCAACUUCUGAAAUGUUGACCUCGGAUCAGGUAGGAAUACCCGCUGAACUUAAGCAUAUCAAUAAGCGGAGGAA
rnacentral:rRNA from 1 species